AGAGAGAUGGAUUCAGCGCCAUUGCCCAGCAGAGCUGCAAACUCAGUCAGAGAAACACGAUGUCGAGGUAGAGAGAGAGAGAGAGAGAGAGAGAGAGAGAGAGAGAAGAGAGAGAGGAGAGAGAGAGAGAGAGAGAGAGAAGAGAGAGAGGAGAGAGAGAGAGAAGAGAGAGAGGAGAGAGAGAGAGAGAGAGAGAGAGAGAGAGAGAGAGAGAGAGACCAGGUUUAAAGAAUAAGACAAUCAGAAAAGAAACAGAAAGGCCAGACAGAGAGAUGCACAUAGAAACAGAGGGAUAAGGGGACACUCCAUGGAGGAAGGGAAGGAAGUGGGGAGAGAAAGAGAGUGAUGGAGGAAGAGGAUGGAGGGAGGGGAAGUGAGAUAUGGGGAGAUCUGGGAGGAGGAAAUAAAAAUGGUGAAAGAUUCUUAAGCUGAGCUGGAGAAGAGAGAAAAAUAUUGAGAUAGAAACAGAGAGGGUCUGGAAGGAAGAGAGACUGUUACCAGGAGAUGGAGGCUGAAGAUGUGGAAGUAGGAAUACCCUGAAAUCCUAAGACAGAGGAAGAAGUGAGAAAGGGAUGCGGAGAGAUGAGAAACACAGAGAAGCCCAGAAGCUAAGAGGGACAAAAAGACAAAUGAAGACAGAGAACCAGGGCUGGAAAACAGAAACCCAGGAUGUCCUUAGAGAUGGAGAGAGAGGGGAAAGAGGAGACUCCAGUGAGAGAGAAUAAGGAGGUGGGGCAGAGAGAGGCAGGGAGGAAUCAGGACAGGGACGCUGGAGACAGGUGAGGGAUACACAUGGAGAGGCCACAAUGAAGGGAGAUGGGGAGGGAAGACCAGACUGGGGACUCUGCCUUAGCCUCCAGUUGGCAGGAGAGUCAGGGAGAAGGCUGGGAACACUGAGACCUUCGUGUCCACCUGGCCACCUUCCCCCUCUUGGGCACCCCCUCACCAUAGCCUUUGAAGACCCAGUCGAAGGUGGCUUGCUCGCCUCGCCCGCUGAACUCCUCAGCCUGGUCCACCAGAGCCUCCCUGACGGCAUCAUGUCCACACAGCACCACGACCCGCCGGGGCCCCAAGUGAAUGGUGAACACGGGGCCAUAGCGCUCACUGAUCUGAUGGAGGUGGGUGGGAGUGGUUAGAGGGAGAAGCCUCCACUCUGAAUGGGGCCCAGCACCGAGAUGUCAUGUGCUGGGAUGCUUCGCACCCAGGUUCUCACAGUCAGGGAGCUGGACAUCCCAAGAUCCUGUCUUUCUGAUGCUGAAACUCCAAAACUCCAUUUCCUAAGACUCUGGUCCACACUGGUCAACCCCCUGCCACAAAGCCCCAGCCAACUAGGCAGCCCCCACCCCGUGCCACCCAUCUCCCUGCCUUGGGACACCUUCAUGAGGGAGUUGUACAUCUGCUCUGUGUUCAGCUGCAGGUAGUUUCCAAUGAAGGGCAAUGGGGUGGGUCCCGGAGGCAGCUUCCCCUUGCUCUUCCUCUGCUGCCAAACAGACAUCAAGACCAUUACAGUCAGGCAGACCAGCAAGGCCACCAGAAGCAUCCCUGAGGCCAGCAUGGUGGUAGUGGGAUGAUAGAUGGUGACGGCUGGGGUGGUUUGCCUUUAUACUGCCUGAAAAAGAGGGAUGGACUUUGGCUGAUUACAUAAUUACCUCAUUUCACCUCCCAACUACAUGCCCCACCAUGAAUCCUGCCUAGCUUGGGACACAGCCAGCAAGGGAGGAUAAGGGGACCCCAGGGCAGCUGAACAGAGAGGGGGCCUCCAGACUAAAUCUGUGGUACUUCAGGAGGGGUGCCGCAGGGCUGUGGAUUUAGGAGGGGGCAACAGAUAAGCUGUAGAACUGAGGAGUUUGGAAUAUUUGCAUAGGGGAGCACUUGGGCUUUGGAUUUGGGGUCUGAGAGUGAGAAUGCACCCCAAAGUUGUGGAUCUGGGGGUUCCAGGGGAGAGGAAUCCAAAGGUCUGGGUUUUAUUAGGGUAAGACAAAGUGUGGCUGUGCAUUUAGGGGUCUUCUGUUGUGGAGGAUGCAGGGUUAAGGGUCUCAGGAAGGGGGAUUCCAGGCAUAUGGACUUGAAAGUCUCGGGGCUAGGAAGACCCAGGGCUGUGGGUGUGGAGUUUCUGGGAGGAGGAGUGUGUAGCAAGCCCAGCGGGUUCUCCCAGAAAGCCCAGCAGCCCAGCACUGGGUCCAGGGGCUGACUUGAUUUUGCUUUUGCCCAGAGCUGUCUCUUGAUGCCCAGAAUCCUCAUUGGAACCUCAGAGUGAGGCCAGGAUGGGUGCCAUAGAACCUCCACUGCCCAUCUCUGAUUGGGAAGGGGAGGAAGACCAGAGCCA
rnacentral:lncRNA from 1 species